GCCGCCAUAGCUCAGUCGGUUAGAGCGUGGGUCUAAUAAGCCCAAAAUCGCAGGUUCGACUUCUGCUGGCGGCA
rfam:Syphacia muris strain Valencia genome assembly, scaffold: SMTV_scaffold0000160